rnacentral:tRNA from 1 species
GCUACUAUAGCUCAGUCGGUAGAGUGCUACCUUGGUAAGGUAGAGGUCACGGGUUCGAUUCCCGUUAGUAGCUCCA